GGGCAUUCUACAGAACGAUUGUGCUCCCCUGAAUUCUCCAUGUUUGCUUGGUGAUCAUAUCCGCUGUUUGAUUGGCCUCCCUAGGCAGAUUUGACUGUGAAGACUCUUUUCUCCGAGAGAAUCCAGCCUGGAGAGUCUACAAUGCUUUCAUCUACUGGAGGAGGAACAACUUGCAUUUUAUAAAUGGUUUGUUCUGGGAGUAAUCUAUCAAGCUUGUUCCAGUCCCAGAUUAAUUUUCUGCCCCAAGCUGUUGCAGAAUUUUUGGAGAGUAUUCUGAAUAGUCCCAAUUUGGGAGUUGUCUGCUUCCGCAAAGAGCAUAAGAUCAUCUGCAAAAAAGAGGUGAGAAAUGUUAGGGCCAUUUUUUGAUAGUUUAAUUGGUUUCCACCUACCUUGUUCCACAGCUAAUGUAAUUUCUUGCACUAGUCUUUCCAUGUAGAUGACAAACAGGUAAGGCGAGAGGGGAUCCCCCUGUCUAAUUCCUCUAGAUGGUUUAAAAGGCUCCGUAAUUUCUCCAUUCCAAUUGAUUUGGAUUGUCGUGGAGGUAAUACAAUUUAUAAUAGCCAGAAUAAUUUUAAUAGGGAGCCCCAACUUCUCAAUGCUAGCUUUAAUAAAGUUCCAAUCUAAUCUCUCAUAUGCUUUCUCCAGAUCAAUCUUGAUGGCUAAAUACCCCUUCUUUCCUUUCUUUUUCUUCAUAGUGCGAAUCACCUCCUGAGCUAGGAUAAUGUUGUCAGUAAUAACCCUACCUGGAACGAAACUAGUUUGGCUAUUAGAGAUGAUAGAAGGAAGAAUAGGUUUAAGGCGGUUAACAAUGACUUUGGUUAUAAUUUUGUAGGUGAUCUGACAAAGGCUUAUAGGUCUAAAUUGGGUAAUUCUAUCAGGGUUAUCUACCUUAGGGAUUAAAAACAAGCACGUUCUGUUUAAAGCUUCUUCAAUCUAACCACCAUUGAGGCAAUGUUUGACUAGAUAGCAAACCUUUUCUCCAACCGUGUCCCAAUUUUUCUGGAAAAAACUAGCAUGAAAUCCAUCAAUUCCUGGAGCUUUUAGGGGGUUCAUACUGAAUAGUGCAUCUUUAAUCUAAAUAUUAUCGAAAGGUUUAUCAAGCCAACUCCAUUGUUCCUGAUUCAAGUUAGGAAAAGGUCUACUAUUCUCAAGAGAAUGCCUUACUAAAGGGUCAUUUGUGAAAAGAUCUUCAUAAUAUUUCUUCACAUGAAUUUUGAGCAUUUCUUGGUCUUCGCACCAAUUAUCAGAAUCUGUUUUGAGGGUAGUUAUAAGUUUUUUUCUACCCUUAAUAAUAGCACAUGAGUGAAAGUACUUUGUAUUUUUGUCUCCAUGGGUAAUCCAUUUACAUCUCGUCCUUUGAGCCCAAAGAAGUUCUUAUUGUCUAAGAAUUAAGUCAAGUUCAAGCUUAAGAUCAUCUUCAAGAGUUGACAGUCUGGUAGAGUUAUAACAUCGAAGAGUUUUAUCAAUACCUUUAAGCCUAGCAAUUAAUUUUUUCUUCUUCUGGUUGAUAUUACCGAAAACUUCAUUAUUCCAAACCUUGAUGCUUUCCUUGAGAUGAUUUAGGCUUUCCAUAAGGUUAUCAUGUUUUACCCAUUCUUUUUUAAUAAACUGCUCAAAGUCAGGGUGGUCCAUCCAACCUACCAGGAAUCUGAAUUGAUUCUUUUUAUUCCCUUUGGGGUUGUUCAUGGUAUGCAGAAGAAUAGGGCAAUGAUGUGAUCCUAUUCGGUCAAGGUGAUGAACUCUAGUAUCUGGGUAUAAUUCUAACCACUUUAUGUUCAUAAUGCAUUUAUCAAGUCUCUGCCAUAAUAUUCCACGUCUCCACGUAAAUUCAUCACCCUGGUACUUAACAUCUAUCAAAUUGUUAUUGAAUAUGAACUCUUGGAAGUGCUUACUCCCACCUCUGAAGCAAUUGCUACCACCAGUUCUCUCAUUGGGCUUCAGGAUACAAUUAAAGUCCCCUCCUAGUAUCCAGGGUUCAUUAUUGCUAGGUUUGAGUUAUUCUAGGAGAUUCCAUAGCUUACAUCGAAUGUUGGGGCUGGGACUAGCAUAAAUUGCUGUAAAAUAGUUCCAGUAGUUACUGCUACUAUCCUUAAUGUGCGCAUGAACAUACUAUUUAGAAAUACUUAGUAUUUUAACUUUAACCGAAUUAUCCCAAAGUAUCCAUAUACCUCCACUGUGACCCUGAGCUUCGAUUCUGAAAGAAUUAAUGUAGCCCAUAUUGUUGAUAAUUCUGUCAGCUCUCUUGCCACUAGUGUGCGUUUCCAUCAAGGCAAUGAUCUUGGGUUUGUGCACCUUCACACAAUCUUUGAAAUGUCUUCUAAAGGAAGGUUUACCAACCCCUUGAGUGUUCCAAAAAAGAAUCUUCAAAAUUAUUGAGGUAAUUGGUAGGUGCUUUGUGGCACCUCUUUUUCCUUCUGUUUUCCUUCUUUGCUCUUCUCCAGAUCAAUUUGCUUCAUCAUUUGAGCUUGAUUGGUUAUAGGAGUGCUAUUAUCAGGAGGAGCCAAGUUCUCCGAAUUCAUGGUAUUUUCUUGGAACCAUUCCGACAGUAAAUGAACGUUAGGACUAAUAGUAGGUUUAGAUUUUCUAACUUUAAAGCUUUUUUUGGUAGUGUGAAAAACUUGUUUUGACUUUUUGUUGAAGUUCCAUCUAGAAGUGAGAUUCUGAUUUUUAUUUUCAUGAAUGGUAAUUGCUGUAUGUAUUCCUUUUCCCACUGUAACUAUGUGUUCACUGAUUUGAGCAUCCUCAUUCACUGUGACCUGGAUCCCUCCAAUAUUCACCUCCUUAGUAUUAUCUUUACUCUCAACCAUUUCACUAUCAGUGGUAGGGACCUCAACUAAUCUAUCAUCAAUUUCAAGGUUAGUGUGAGUAUUUUUUUUCUGGGUCCGGUCUGUAAUAUCAGUUUGAGCUGCUGUGUUCUUGUUUCUCAUUAUUUCUCUCUCUCUCCUUCUGUUCUUCAUCUUAUCUGUUGCAAUGUCAGUUCUUGUAGCAGGUGCUUGUAUAUCCUUUUCAUUUCUUUGAUGCUGGUAAGCUUUAUUGCUUUCCCUGGAUUCUUCCUCUAAAUGUUCUUCCUGUAAGGGGGUGAAUCUUGAUCCUUGUCUUGAUGAUCCUUCAACCUCUUUGUUUCUGAUUUGAGUUCUUUGCAAUCUACUGUUUCUUCCUCUUGGUUGAACAACCAUCCAAGGACCAAAGGGAUUUUCUUUAUUUAUUUCAACAUUGGCUUGUUCUUCAAUAACAUUUUUACUGUUGGAUGUAUCCAUCUGCUUCUCUUCUUGGUUGAUUUGACAGACUUCUUUUGCAUGUCCAUAGGUACCACAGUUGAAGCAGAUUUGUUGCAGACCUUCAUAUUCAAUCUUUUGGAUGAAGUCAUCAAUUCCCACACAUAGAAUAAGAGCCCAGGCAGUCUCAGCCAGGCUAUGACUUGUGAAGGAUGCUUUUCAGAUGUGGUAAAAUUUCUCGACCAUGGUUGUACAGUCAGAUCAUGGAUUCGCUUUGAGAAGCUUAUUCGAGGAAAUUCUCCAUAACUGUCCAUGGUGACGUCUCCUUCUUGGAAUACUAUCUCCUCUUCAGUCAUCUUGAUUGGGGGGUUCAGAUUCGAUCCCUUGGCAGCCAUGGUAGCAUAGAAGAUUUUCUUAGGACUCUUGAGAUGUUUAUUGGUGGUAGCUCCUUCUUCUUGGGAAUCAUCUUCAGUCUGCAUAUUCUCUGUUUGCUGAGUUGAUUCAUCAUCUUCUAUUGUUAAUUCUCGAUUCUUUACUU